AAAAAAGAACAAUUUUGCAGCCACUCGGGCAAUACCCUCAAGUUGCGACAAUCUCCAAUCAUUAUCCUCUGCAAUGUACAUGCAGAACCUUUGAGCCACCCGGGCAAAGAAACAAUUUCCGAUGAUCCCCCGAAUAUGAAGGAUUGAAGCCUCAACACGGAGCGUGGUUCAUUACUUUUGCCUUCUUGCGGCCUCAAGUUCCGGCAGCCGCUAAUCCAGAGAUCCUCCAAUGCCUUCAGAUUCUUGAUGCCCUAUGGUAAGGAGGCCAACUUUGGACAACCUCCAAUGAGCAACUUACGGAGCGACGUGAGCGAUUGGAUGUCAUCGAACAAGGCCUCCAAAUUCUCACACCCUCCAAUGCUUAGCCACCGCAGAGAUGCAAUUCCUCGAGUCCCCUGCACCCGCCAAGACCUAAGCACUGCAGAUUGCGAAGCUUGCAGAACGAUUUGGGGGAGUUUCUUGAUAUUACAGUUGUCGGAUAAAUGAAGAAACCUCAAAUGAUUUAGACCGCCAAUGGAACUAGGCAGUAUGUCAAAGCUAGAGCCAUAUAGAUCUAUCACUCGCAAGUGCUUGAAUCGUGAAAUGCACAUCUCCAGAAAGAACUCCCCAGAGGAACCCUCCUCAAACAUGACGGUACGAAUGCAGCUGAGUUUGCCCAAGCAGCUGCGUUAUUCAUCUUUUGGUACAUGAGAUGGGUCGGGAAAUGAUGUAUGCCGAGUCAUCGGGGAAAUAUCCUGCGUGAACACUUUCAUGUUUGACGAUUCCAUUUGUGCCACCGAAAUGGCAAGUUCGUGAAUGAGGUCGUGCAUUCCGAAGAUCAGGAAUGGAUAGUUUUCCUAGACAGCAUCGAAGAAGGAUCUCGACAACAGCUCCUCCAAGUAUUGCCAUCCAAUCUCUUCCAGCUCCUGACUAUUUCCGCUGGAUUGGAUGAGCCCGUUCGAGAUCCACAGUUGGAUCAAAUCAAAGUUGACUAACGUGCGUUUCUUCAGGAAUAUUGAGCAAUAAGCAAAACAUUGUUUCAAGUAAGGCGGCAUUAAAUCGUAGCUUAUCCUUAGUGAAGGUAAAAUAUGAGUUUGUAAUUGCCACAUCUCACUAUCUCUUACAUAUUUCCCGUCGCUCCGGUUGUUUUUUUUUUAAUACAACAA